ensembl:lncRNA
GGGGAGACAAUGAGACGGAUGGAUGUGUGUUGUCCUUGUCUCGUGGAGAAGAGGAACAUCUGGAUGUGGACAUAGUGCACGCCGCCCUGCGGGAAUUCCAGCAGGAACUCAGGGACACACAAAGAGAGAGGGUAAAAGUGAGCGUUCUGAUUGGGAUUGUUAGCUUGAAGCUUUCCCGCCAGAUCUUCCCAAUAAAUAAAUUGCAAUAAAUGAAGGGAAUUCACUGUAUAUAUUUCAUCAGAGCAGUUGUUAUUGUGUUGUUCCCUCAGGAGGAAGCCAAGACUCAGGUGGUUGUUCUGAGUCAGCAGGUGACGGACCUACUAGACAGCCAGGAUAAGUCGGCCACUCAGCUGCUUCAACUACAGAGGUCCCUGAAGCAAUCAGAGCAAGGUGAGAAGACCAGCGGAUCCUAUGGACACAGUCAUAACAGUUACUUAUUCUGCGUAGACUGACUGCCCAUUCAACAAUUCAACAUAUUCCAGGGAAAAGAGAGAUGGCAGAGCGGUUGCAAAAGGCCCAUGCAUCGCUUUCCUUGCAAGAACGUCACAAUGACAGGGAGAAGAGAAGCCUUGGGGAGGAAGUAGUCCAGCUCAGAACCAGUCUGCGAGCUGCUGAGGCUGAGACAAGGGCACUGCAAGUAUGUCCAAGGCAAGGAGAUCGAUAUUUACCAGAACCGAGCGCAUCGUCUUCAGUGACGAACGAUAAACUGUUCUGUGCCAACUCCUCCGCAGGACACGUUGGAGCCCCUGCAAGGUUUGGAAUCGCGAACAAACGUAGAACAACAGAAGCUGAAGCAGUCCCUGCAUGCAGCGGAGAGCCGGGCGAGCCGCCUGGAGCUCUCCCAGCGCACCCUCGAGGGCGAGCUGCAGAGGGCCCGGCUCCUGGCGGCGGAGCUGGACGCAGAGGCGGGCGCCCUGCGGGAACGACUGACGGAGCUGAGGAGGAAGCUGAGCGACAGCGAGGACCGCGGCGCCGCGCUGAGGCUCAGCGAGGAGACGCUGGCCACGGCGCUCGCUCGGGCCGAGCAGCACGAGAGCCAGUUGAGAGAACAGAUCCACAAACUGUCCAGCACCCUCGGCGACCGCAGGACCAGCGGCGGAGCCCUGCAGGAGCAGCUCGCACAGCUGCAGAGGGCUGUGACUGCCAGCGAGCAGGACCGAAGGCUGCUGCAGGAACGCCUGGAUCAAACCCGAAAUGCCCUCUCCGAGAGGAAGAGGCUGAGCCACGCACUAACAGAGCAGACCCAGGACCUUCAAAGAGCCCGAGAGGACUUGGAGCUUAA